CAAGGAAAAUUACGAAACUAUUCAAAAAUACGAACGUAAGAAUAGCUUUUAAAGUAAAUCAUACAUUAGGUAAAAUACUAAACCAUAAACAAAGCACAAAUCCCUUUGAACAAAGCGGCAUAUACAAAUUGACUUGCCAGGAGUGCCAACAAGUGUAUAUAGGUCAAACAGGCAGAAAAUUAGUAACACGCUAUAAUGAACAUAUAAGAAGUAUAAGAUUCAAUAAAAAUGACUCCGCCUAUGCUCAACAUAUUUUAAAUAGACAACAUCAAUAUGGCCCAAUUUCGCAAAUCAUGGAAUUGAUUGAAGUAGCAAAGAAAGGCAAAUUAAUGAAUAUUAAGGAAGAAUACCAAAUUUACCGCCACUACAAGGAUAACAAAUUAAUAGAUGAGCAGAAACAGGCAAAGGAGAUCAAUAACCAGAACAGCAUGUUCGACCUUAUCACUACUUGUAUAAACACACCCCCGACCACGUCAUAACACACAAGGCUUUAAAUAACACUGGCGUAGAACUCUCACCGCAGUACACAACACACAACGCACAGGAAUAAUCCAACUACAAGCCAAUACAACCUCAAGACAUCUCCCAACAUCGGGAUAAAUUAAGAAGCAGCCUAACAUUUUUAUAUUUUACUUCAAAAGUCUUAAACUUUUAAAUAUUUUUUAAAUAUUUUAAUAGUGAUGUUUUAACGCGAGGGCAACUUCGGAUUGAAUGCGAAGGU